AACGAACAACACUAUCCGUUUCAUUUCAGUACUUGUCGCCGUUUCACCUGUAACUAACCAGCACCGUCGCCGUUGCUGUCAUCCACCGCGUAACCGUCAAGGUAACCACCGUGUUCCUCCUUUCAUCAUAUACUCAAAUUACAAUACAGUAACUAAUCAAUAACCAAUAACUUUUGCGUUUAUUUCUUCUCGAAAGUGAAAAUGAAGAAAAUGAUAGCAAUAGGGUUUGAAGGUUCAGCGAACAAAAUAGGUGUUGGUAUAGUAACCCUAGAUGGAACAAUUCUUUCAAAUCCACGCCAUACUUAUAUAACUCCACCCGGUCAAGGUUUUCUACCAAGAGAAACAGCACAACAUCAUUUUCAACACAUUCUUCCCCUUGUUAAAUCAGCUUUGGAAACAGCACAGAUUACUCCACAAGAUAUAGACUGCAUUUGUUACACCAAAGGUCCUGGUAUGGGAGCUCCAUUGCAAGUUUCUGCUAUUGUAGUUCGUGUGCUUUCGUUGCUUUGGAAGAAACCAAUUGUUGGUGUUAAUCAUUGUGUGGCUCAUAUUGAAAUGGGUAGGGUUGUAACAGGUGCUGAUGACCCUGUUGUUUUGUAUGUUAGUGGUGGUAAUACUCAGGUUAUUGCUUAUAGUGAAGGGCGGUACCGGAUUUUUGGUGAGACUAUUGAUAUUGCUGUUGGGAAUUGUUUGGAUCGGUUUGCGAGGGUCUUGACACUUUCUAAUGAUCCUAGUCCUGGAUAUAACAUUGAGCAGCUUGCAAAGAAAGGAGAGCAAUUUAUAGAUCUUCCUUAUGUUGUCAAAGGGAUGGAUGUAUCUUUUAGUGGAAUAUUGAGCUAUAUUGAAGCAACUGCUAAUGAAAAGCUAAAGAAUAAUGAGUGUACACCUGCAGACUUAUGCUACUCUCUGCAGGAAACACUGUUUGCCAUGCUGGUGGAGAUAACUGAGCGUGCCAUGGCUCAUUGUGACACAAAAGACGUUCUUAUAGUUGGAGGUGUAGGUUGCAACGAGCGCCUGCAAGAGAUGAUGAGAACAAUGUGCUCUGAACGUGGUGGAAGGUUGUUUGCUACUGAUGAUAGGUACUGCAUUGAUAAUGGUGCAAUGAUAGCUUAUACUGGUCUUCUUGAAUUUGCCCAUGGUGCGUCAACUGCACUAGAGGAUUCUACAUUCACCCAGCGGUUCCGAACAGAUGAAGUCAAGGCCAUCUGGAGAGAAGCAAAUUUGGCAAAAUCAAAUAGUCUUGUAGACAAAAGUAUUUGAUUUUUCAAUCUUGAGGUGCGGAAAUAUCCUUCUGCACACAAUUAUACCCAGGUUCAGUUAACUAUAUAAAAUGUCUGUUUCUAUUGGGUCAAGAAUUUCUUAAUUCUGUUCCACAGUCAAGGUUAGGUGGGAGAUUUCAAUAUAUACCAACAAGUUAAGUUCAUUUAUUGAGUCAUGUGGGCCUUUCUAUUUUAACUUAAGCUUUGUAUACAUUAAGAAGAACUUAACUGCAUUGUUUAAAACUUAUAAGGAUAACGUUUUAACAAUUCCAACUAGGGAACCGGAACUUAUUUUCUUGAUUGUAUAGUUGUUGCUAACAAAAUCUGUUCCCCCAGAAUCUCAUUGUUGGGUGUAUGCUGGAAAAAGACUUCUAAUGUGCUCUUGUUAGGAUCCCACCACACACAUUAACACCCAAGGAUCUCACUGUUGCCUGUGAAUUUUAUUGAUUGAAAGAAAAGGGUUACACAAAGGAGCUAUCCUUCCCUACACUAGAGUAUUUCUCUAGUCAACAACUCGAUAAUCUUCCUAGCUUCCUUAGGAAAAGUUAAUCAUAUUUAUAAUAUGACUAAAAGAAAAACAGUUUAACAAUUACAGAUGCUAACAGUAUAACUAACUUUGGUUUACAACCUUCCCACUUUUUCCUCUAUUAAACCUGGGGGACUCUAUCUCCUGUUAUAGGCUCUUCUUGUUGCCUAACAGCUCCCUCCAAUUUUCUGCAAUAACUUGCUGAUUCCUCAUCUUUGAUUUAGCCUCCAACUAAUGCUUGUAUGCCCAUUCUGUCUUGCCAUCUGUAAAGCUUGCCUGUCAAUUUGUUUACUUGAAAUGGGGAGCUUUGUUUUGUGUGCUCAAAUAUAGUUGUUGUGCUCUACGCUUCAUCCUUUCUGUCUGGUACUUGGACUUGGGCAAUUAGUUUCCAAAUUGAGUCAGGUUGGUAGGCAUUCCGAGUUAGAAUCCCUUGCAGAGGUGAGGUACGAAUGAACUGAAGAUGGACGUUAAACCCACAAACUAUCCUCAAUUUGGGUAUUGACCCAUUAGGUUUGGAAUGAUACCCAACUUACAAAAUGUCCGUUCAUCCACUCUAUGUUUCUUCUUCAACAGAACCAAUAGACAUGAAUGGAACAUUGCUAUUGUUGUCACCAAUGGUUGCUUUGCCCGUAGUGACUCACUAACUUUUUCCUGCAAGCUGGUGUCCAGUGGUUUGUUGAUUCAAGUGCAAUUCUUGAACUGCGCAAUUGUACCCCAUUUCACCCACAUCCUCAUUCUCAUUUAAAUGUCAGCCACCUUAUAAGCACUGUAGUUCAAAGUUUUUGAGUCCUCACCUUCCUUCUGCCUCCACUCUUCAGCCGGUUUACCUGCCAUUCACGCAUCCAAGUUCAGGGGCAUAAGCUUGGACUCCAAGUUGCCCGUGCUUGCCGGUUGUUGCACCAAAACUUGGCGAAUCUACAUUAAUUAUAAGAUUCUUGAUGGCUACACUUCCCUGCAUCUUCACCAGAAGUUUUUGUUUUUGUUUUUUUUGUUUCUGCCACCAGCUCUUCUUCAAAGAAGGUAACAUCACUUCCUUUUUCGCCUCGCAUGCAGGUAUCUAAAGUAGCAAGCACAUGUUUUGUCUUGUUCUUUCAAACUUCUUUAGGAUCCCAUUGGUGAAGCCUCCCGAGUCCUCCCUCUCUUGGAUGCAACCAAACAUGGCUAAGUACUCAAUUGUGAUUUAAAGAAAAACAAGGGACUAAUGGAUAUCCAAAUCAGCCAUGUUCAAGUUUAAGUUUGUAGUGAUACUCAAGUACAACCAAAUUUAUUAACACUGUAAAUUUAUGUAUGAAGAAACUCUUCAUUUUGUGUGAUAUUUUGUAGGGUUAUGUGGUGCAAAAGUGUCAUCCGUGCCAAUAUAUAACCAUGGUUCAUGGUUUAAAACAAAUGACAUAUUUACUUUGUACCUAAGGUCCUGGGAUUAGUAAUGUUGUAACAGCUCCCUUUCCUCUUCUCAUAGGAUAUACAAAUCUGGCUAGGAUUAGUCAUGUGAUAUUUGGGAUUAAGGUAGCAAUGAUAUUUUUUAGGACUUAGGUUAUAUAUUUGUGGAUGUGAUAUCAUGUAUUCUACCACUGUCUUAUCACAAUCUCUUGGGAUCCGAACUUAUUCCCUAAUCAAUCUCCUAUUGCAUA